GGGACUGUAGCUCAGUUGAUAGAAUACUUGCCUAGCAUGCAAGAGGCCUUGGGUUUGAUCCCCAGCAACCA
rnacentral:tRNA from 1 species